GUUUAAAUAAAAAAAAAGUAGCAAAAACAUGGAGUUCCUUUCUCUCCACAUCCCCGCCAACACUGUUUAUUCUCAUUCUUUGUGAUGUGUGCCAUUCUCUGUGGUGUGAGGUGGUAUCUCAUAGUUGUUUUGAUUUGCAUUUCCCUGAUGAUUAAUGAUGUGGACCAUUUUUUCAUGUGUCUUUUGGCCAUUUGUAUUUCUUCUUUGUCAAAGUAGUCUGUUCAUUUCUUCUCCCCAUUUUUUGAUGGGAUUAGAUGUUUUUUUCUUGUAAAG